UAGUAGAGAUGGGGUUUCACCAUGUUAGCCAGGAUGGUCUCGAUCUCCUGACCUCGUGAUCCGCCUGUCUCGGCCUCCCAAAGUGCUGGGAUUACAGGCGUGAGCCGCCGCUCCCAGCCUAAUUUUUGUAUUUUUAAUAGGGACAGGGUUUCACCAUCUUGGCUAGGCUGGUCUUGAACUCCUGACCUUGUGAUCUGCCCGCCUCAGCCUCCCAAAGUGCUGGGAUUACAGGCGUGAGCCACCGCGCCCAGCCGGUUUGUUCCUCUUUUACUUUGUCUAGUGUAUUCUUAGCCUUCAAGGCCCAUGCCAACUGUUGCUCCAUUAAUUCAUUUUAACAUAUUUAUGAGCGCUUCACUGUCCCUUCUCCUAGGUGCUGGAAAUACAGCAAGGAAUUAGACCAGUUCCCUGCUCUCUGGUAUGGGGCGACCAUACUGCCACCACACCUAGCUAAUUUUUGUAUUUUUAGUAGAGAUGGGUUUCACUGCAUUUGUCAGGCUGGUCUCGAACUUCUGACCUCAGAUGAUCCACCUGCCUUGGCCUCCCAAAGUGCUGGGAUUACAGGCAUAAGCCACCGUGCCCAGGCCAC
rnacentral:lncRNA from 1 species